rnacentral:rRNA from 1 species
ACGGGAGAGUAACACGUGGGAACGCGCCCUUCGGUUCGGGAUAACUCAGGGAAACUUGGGCUAAUACCGGAUACGCCCUUACGGGGAAAGAUUUAUUGCCGAAGGAACGGCCCGCGUCCGAUUAGCUUGUUGGUGAGGUAAUGGCUCACCAAGGCGACGAUCGGUAGCUGGUCUGAGAGGAUGACCAGCCUCACUGGGACUGAGACACGGCCCAGACUCCUACGGGAGGCAGCAGUGGGGAAUAUUGGACAAUGGGCGCAAGCCUGAUCCAGCCAUGCCGCGUGGGUGAUGAAGGCCCUAGGGUUGUAAAGCCCUUUCGGCGGGGAAGAUAAUGACGGUACCCGCAGAAGAAGCCCCGGCUAACUUCGUGCCAGCAGCCGCGGUAAUACGAAGGGGGCUAGCGUUGCUCGGAAUUACUGGGCGUAAAGCGCACGUAGGCGGCUUCUUAAGUCGGUGGUGAAAUCCUGGAGCUCAACUCCAGAACUGCCUUCGAUACUGGGAAGCUCGAGUCCGGGAGAGGUGAGUGGAACUGCGAGUGUAGAGGUGAAAUUCGUAGA